GGCCCCAUCGUAUAAUGGUUAGUAUACCGGCCUUUCAAGCCGGUGGUGCGGGUUCGAUUCCCGCUGGGGCUACCA
rnacentral:tRNA from 1 species